rnacentral:rRNA from 1 species
GAUGAACGCUGGCGGCGUGCCUAAUACAUGCAAGUCGAGCGAACGGACGAGAAGCUUGCUUCUCUGAUGUUAGCGGCGGACGGGUGAGUAACACGUGGAUAACCUACCUAUAAGACUGGGAUAACUUCGGGAAACCGGAGCUAAUACCGGAUAAUAUUUUGAACCGCAUGGUUCAAAAGUGAAAGACGGUCUUGCUGUCACUUAUAGAUGGAUCCGCGCUGCAUUAGCUAGUUGGUAAGGUAACGGCUUACCAAGGCAACGAUGCAUAGCCGACCUGAGAGGGUGAUCGGCCACACUGGAACUGAGACACGGUCCAGACUCCUACGGGAGGCAGCAGUAGGGAAUCUUCCGCAAUGGGCGAAAGCCUGACGGAGCAACGCCGCGUGAGUGAUGAAGGUCUUCGGAUCGUAAAACUCUGUUAUUAGGGAAGAACAUAUGUGUAAGUAACUGUGCACAUCUUGACGGUACCUAAUCAGAAAGCCACGGCUAACUACGUGCCAGCAGCCGCGGUAAUACGUAGGUGGCAAGCGUUAUCCGGAAUUAUUGGGCGUAAAGCGCGCGUAGGCGGUUUUUUAAGUCUGAUGUGAAAGCCCACGGCUCAACCGUGGAGGGUCAUUGGAAACUGGAAAACUUGAGUGCAGAAGAGGAAAGUGGAAUUCCAUGUGUAGCGGUGAAAUGCGCAGAGAUAUGGAGGAACACCAGUGGCGAAGGCGACUUUCUGGUCUGUAACUGACGCUGAUGUGCGAAAGCGUGGGGAUCAAACAGGAUUAGAUACCCUGGUAGUCCACGCCGUAAACGAUGAGUGCUAAGUGUUAGGGGGUUUCCGCCCCUUAGUGCUGCAGCUAACGCAUUAAGCACUCCGCCUGGGGAGUACGACCGCAAGGUUGAAACUCAAAGGAAUUGACGGGGACCCGCACAAGCGGUGGAGCAUGUGGUUUAAUUCGAAGCAACGCGAAGAACCUUACCAAAUCUUGACAUCCUUUGACAACUCUAGAGAUAGAGCCUUCCCCUUCGGGGGACAAAGUGACAGGUGGUGCAUGGUUGUCGUCAGCUCGUGCCGUGAGAUGUUGGGUUAAGUCCCGCAACGAGCGCAACCCUUAAGCUUAGUUGCCAUCAUUAAGUUGGGCACUCUAAGUUGACUGCCGGUGACAAACCGGAGGAAGGUGGGGAUGACGUCAAAUCAUCAUGCCCCUUAUGAUUUGGGCUACACACGUGCUACAAUGGACAAUACAAAGGGCAGCGAAACCGCGAGGUCAAGCAAAUCCCAUAAAGUUGUUCUCAGUUCGGAUUGUAGUCUGCAACUCGACUACAUGAAGCUGGAAUCGCUAGUAAUCGUAGAUCAGCAUGCUACGGUGAAUACGUUCCCGGGUCU